GUUGAUCCUGGCUCAGAUUGAACGCUGGCGGCAGGCCUAACACAUGCAAGUCGAGCGGUAGCACAAGAGAGCUUGCUCUCUGGGUGACGAGCGGCGGACGGGUGAGUAAUGUCUGGGAAACUGCCUGAUGGAGGGGGAUAACUACUGGAAACGGUAGCUAAUACCGCAUAACGUCUUCGGACCAAAGUGGGGGACCUUCGGGCCUCACGCCAUCAGAUGUGCCCAGAUGGGAUUAGCUAGUAGGUGGGGUAAUGGCUCACCUAGGCGACGAUCCCUAGCUGGUCUGAGAGGAUGACCAGCCACACUGGAACUUGAGACACGGUCCAGACUCCUACGGGAGGCAGCAGUGGGGAAUAUUGCACAAUGGGCGCAAGCCUGAUGCAGCCAUGCCGCGUGUGUGAAGAAGGCCUUCGGGUUGUAAAGCACUUUCAGCGAGGAGGAAGGGUUCAGUGUUAAUAGCACUGUGCAUUGACGUUACUCGCAGAAGAAGCACCGG
rnacentral:rRNA from 1 species